rnacentral:tRNA from 1 species
CCUCUCAUGGCGUAGGGGUAACGCGCCCUAUCUAGAGAUCAGGGAGUCGCAAGUUCGAUUCUCACUGAGAAGA